UACGUAGGGUGCAAGCGUUGUCCGGAAUUAUUGGGCGUAAAGGGCUCGUAGGCGGUCCAUCACGUCGGGAGUGAAAAGCUGGGGCUUAACCCCAGUCCUGCUUCCGAUACGGGUGGACUAGAGGUAGGCAGGGGAGAACGGAAUUCCUGGUGUAGCGGUGAAAUGCGCAGAUAUCAGGAGGAACACCGGUGGCGAAGGCGGUUCUCUGGGCCUUACCUGACGCUGAGAAGCGAAAGCAUGGGGAGCGAACAGG
rnacentral:rRNA from 1 species